rnacentral:rRNA from 1 species
CCUACGGGAGGCAGCAGUGGGGAAUAUUGCGCAAUGGGCGAAAGCCUGACGCAGCGACGCCGCGUGAGGGAUGAAGGUCUUCGGAUCGUAAACCUCUGUCAGCAGGGAAGAACGGUCACUGUGCUAAUCAGCAGUGAAUUGACGGUACCUGCAAAGGAAGCACCGGCUAACUCCGUGCCAGCAGCCGCGGUAAGACGGAGGAUACGAGUGUUAUCCGGAUUUAUUGGGUUAAAGGGGUGCGGAGGCGGUUUUUUAAGUUUGUGGGAAAACGUCGGGCCUAACCCUUGAUUUGCCAUUAAUACUGGAAGACUCGAGUUCAGACGAGGUAGGCGGAAUUAGUGAAGUAGCGGGGAAAUGCUUAGAUAUAACUUAGAACUCCGAUAGCGAAGGCAGCUUACCAGACUGCGACUGACGCUGAAGCACGAGAGCGUGGGUAGCGAACAGGAUUAGAUACCCCAGUAGUC